GUUGUGAGGUUAAGCGACUAAGCGUACACGGUGGAUGCCCUGGCAGUCAGAGGCGAUGAAGGACGUGCUAAUCUGCGAUAAGCGCCGGUAAGGUGAUAUGAACCGUUAUAACCGGCGAUUUCCGAAUGGGGAAACCCAGUGUGACUCGUCACACUAUCAUUAACUGAAUCCAUAGGUUAAUGAGGCGAACCGGGGGAACUGAAACAUCUAAGUACCCCGAGGAAAAGAAAUCAACCGAGAUUCCCCCAGUAGCGGCGAGCGAACGGGGAGGAGCCCAGAGCCUGAAUCAGCAUGUGUGUUAGUGGAAGCGUCUGGAAAGGCGCGCGAUACAGGGUGACAGCCCCGUACACAAAAGCGCAUGUGCUGUGAGCUCGAUGAGUAGGGCGGGACACGUGGUAUCCUGUCUGAAUAUGGGGGGACCAUCCUCCAAGGCUAAAUACUCCUGACUGACCGAUAGUGAACCAGUACCGUGAGGGAAAGGCGAAAAGAACCCCGGCGAGGGGAGUGAAAAAGAACCUGAAACCGUGUACGUACAAGCAGUGGGAGCCCCACCACUAAGCCAGUGGUGAACUCCACAUACGCAUCCUUUGCUGAGGAUACGGUUAACGGAGCGAAAGCGACGUUCAACCGCAAAAGAAGCAGAGGGGGCUUAGUGGUGGGGUGACUGCGUACCUUUUGUAUAAUGGGUCAGCGACUUAUAUUCUGUAGCAAGGUUAACCGAAUAGGGGAGCCGGAGGGAAACCGAGUCUUAAUUGGGCGUUAAGUUGCAGGGUAUAGACCCGAAACCCGGUGAUCUAGCCAUGGGCAGGUUGAAGGUUGGGUAACACUAACUGGAGGACCGAACCGACUAAUGUUGAAAAAUUAGCGGAUGACCUGUGGCUGGGGGUGAAAGGCCAAUCAAACCGGGAGAUAGCUGGUUCUCCCCGAAAGCUAUUUAGGUAGCGCCUCGUGAAUUCAUCUCCGGGGGUAGAGCACUGUUUCGGCUAGGGGGCCAUCCCGGCUUACCAACCCGAUGCAAACUGCGAAUACCGGAGAAUGUUAUCACGGGAGACACACGGCGGGUGCUAACGUCCGUCGUGAAGAGGGAAACAACCCAGACCGCCAGCUAAGGUCCCAAAGUCAUGGUUAAGUGGGAAACGAUGUGGGAAGGCCCAGACAGCCAGGAUGUUGGCUUAGAAGCAGCCAUCAUUUAAAGAAAGCGUAAUAGCUCACUGGUCGAGUCGGCCUGCGCGGAAGAUGUAACGGGGCUAAACCAUGCACCGAAGCUGCGGCAGCGAACGUAUCACCCAAGACAACUUUACGGAGUUGACGAUUGACGGAGCGAAGCGACGUCAAAGCGUUCAUUAAAGUCGAGUUGGCUUAGGGAUACGUUCGUUGGGUAGGGGAGCGUUCUGUAAGCCUGUGAAGGUGUGUCGUGAGGC
rnacentral:rRNA from 1 species